UGGGACAUUCUUACCUAAAAGGUGCUGGGAAGGAGCUAAUAGCUUGGAUCUUUGCAUCAAGAGGUCGUACAGUACCAUUACCAACAGUUUUUCCAAGGUGACCAGAGAGAUGGUGAUCAUGAGCCAAAGACAAAACUAAGGACCUGUAUGGAAGAGGAACCACAAUCUGUUUAACAGUCUCACAUUCACUGCUUGAACUUACAGGAGACCAGGACCUCAU